rnacentral:rRNA from 1 species
UGAAAGCUUCCAAACUGGGAUUAGAUACCCCACUAUUCUUGAUUGUAAAUAUAAUUAAAUUUACCAGAGUACUAAGAAUGUUUUAAAAAUUUAAAACUCAAAGGGCUUGGCGGUGUUUUAGACCUAUCAGGGGAACCUGUCUCGUAAUCGACAAUCCACGUUAUACCUAACCUUAUUUUGUAAUUCAGUUUGUAUACCGUCGUCGUCAGGUAACUUUUAAAAACAUAGAAGUUAGCGGUAAAAAUUUGUAAAUUAAGACGUCAGAUCAAGGUGCAGCCUAUAAUAAGGAGAGGAUGGGUUACAAUUAUUAAAAUUAUAAUUACGGAAGUUUAAAUGAAAGCGUUUUCAGAAGGAGGACUUGAAAGUAAAAUUAAAAUAUCUAAAUAAAUUGAAUAAGGCUCUGAAACGUGCACACACCGCCCGUCACCCUCUGCAGUCAAAA